GACAUGAAGCAAAUGGCACAUGGGGAGCAAAAAACACACAAAACACGGAACAAAGUCUGACAUGACUCCCCCCUUCCGGAAGGCGCAUCCCGCGCUGGCACAUGGGGAG